ACGCUCGACACCUACGGGGAGCAGCAGUAGGGAAUCUUCCACAAUGGACGCAAGUCUGAUGGAGCAACGCCGCGUGAGUGAAGAAGGUCUUCGGAUCGUAAAACUCUGUUGUUAGAGAAGAACACGAGUGAGAGUAACUGUUCAUUCGAUGACGGUAUCUAACCAGCAAGUCACGGCUAACUACGUGCCAGCAGCCGUGGUAAUCUGAGCGGGCUGGCAAGGC
rnacentral:rRNA from 1 species